CCUACGGGGGGCAGCAGUGAGGAAUAUUGGUCAAUGGACGAGAGUCUGAACCAGCCAAGUAGCGUGAAGGAUGACUGCCCUAUGGGUUGUAAACUUCUUUUAUAUGGGAAUAAAAUGUUCCACGUGUGGGAUUUUGUAUGUACCAUAUGAAUAAGGAUCGGCUAACUCCGUGCCAGCAGCCGCGGUAAUACGGAGGAUCCGAGCGUUAUCCGGAUUUAUUGGGUUUAAAGGGAGCGUAGGUGGAUUGUUAAGUCAGUUGUGAAAGUUUGCGGCUCAACCGUAAAAUUGCAGUUGAAACUGGCAGUCUUGAGUACAGUAGAGGUGGGCGGAAUUCGUGGUGUAGCGGUGAAAUGCUCAGAUAUCACGAAGAACUCCGAUUGCGAAGGCAGUUCACUGGACUGCAACUGACACUGAGGCUCGAAAGUGUGGGUAUCAAACAGGAUUAGAUACCCGUGUAGUC
rnacentral:rRNA from 1 species